rnacentral:rRNA from 1 species
AGUGAACGCUGGCGGUAGGCCUAACACAUGCAAGUCGAAGGGAAGCACAGAAGGGCCUGGCCCUUAGGGUGGCGGGUGGGGGACGGGGGAGGGAAACCACCGGAUCCUCCUUUUUGGGGGGGGUUAAGGAAGGGAACCUAAGCCAAUAACGCAUACGACCCACGGGUGGAAACAAGGGGACUUCGGAACUUGCGCGGAUUGAUGGGGCGAUGUCGGAUUAGCUAGUUGGCGGGGUAAAGGCCCACCAAGGCGACGAUCCGUAGCUGGUCUGAGAGGAUGAUCAGCCACACUGGAACUGAGACACGGUCCAGACUCCUACGGGAGGCAGCAGUGGGGAAUAUUGGACAAUGGGCGCAAGCCUGAUCCAGCCAUACCGCGUGGGUGAAGAAGGCCUUCGGGUUGUAAAGCCCUUUUGUUGGGAAAGAAAAGCAGCAGGUUAAUACCCCGCUGUUCUGACGGUACCCAAAGAAUAAGCACCGGCUAACUUCGUG